ACUCAAAGGAAUUGACGGGGAUCCGCACAAGCGGUGGAGCAUGUGGUUUAAUUCGAUAGUAAGCGAGGAACCUCACCCAGAUUUGACAUCUAGCUGCAAAUCCCGAGAAAUCGGGACUUCUUCGAGAGUGCUAGACAGGUGCUGCAUGGUUGUCGUCAGCUCGUGUCGUGAGACGUAUGGUUAAGUCCCUUAACGAGCGCAACCCUCGUCCUGUGUUACUAAUUUCACAGGAGACUGCCUCGGAUAACGAGGAGGAAGGUGAGGACGACGUCAAAUCAGCAUGGCUCUUACAUCUGGGGCUACACACGUGCUACAAUGGCCGGUACAAUGGGGCGCUAAGCGGAAACGCGGAGCAAAUCCCAUCAAAACCGGUCCCAGUUCGGAUUGAGGUCUGCAACUCGACCUCAUGAAGUCGGAAUCGCUAGUAAACGCGAAUCAGCCUCGUCGCGUUGAAUACGUUCUCGGAUCUUGUACACACCGCCCGU
rnacentral:rRNA from 1 species